UGAAUUAUUUGGACAAAAAGUAGUGGAAUAUUGAUGAAAACAACCAAAAUAAACUGUCUGUAUUUAUUAUUCAAUUCCAAUUAGAUAUUUGAAAAAAAAAUUUAGUUUUCCGCUUUCCAAGUGAUAAAAUCUGCAACAGUAGUGUAUCUUGUGAAAGCGACAUUGCUCUUUAACCUGCCAAGGUUAAGUAACUUCUACACCUAAAAAAAAAA